AUGUCUUGUAUAUAAAGUCAUAUGUUUCUUAUAUUGACACAGGACAUCACCUUUGGUGUGAAUAUAUAAUAACUUAAUUUAAACUAGAAAGUAUCAAAACCAUGAAGUUGAUAAUCAUCUUUGGGGCAAUUGCGAUGUUGAUGGCAACUGUAGUUAGUGGGGAACCAAUAGACGCCGCAUUAUUGGCAUCAUUAGCAGGAGGUAGAAAAUAAAUCUGGCCAUUGGAUUGCAAAUAAAUGCAAAAUUAUAAAAUUGUGUAAAUCGUGAAUGUAUCAAUAAAACAUCAAAAUUAAUCACAAAUAAUAUAGUUAAAUUUGCAUUUACA